GACAUGGGGACACUGGGAGACAUGGGGACACUGUGUCCCCAUGUGUCUGUCAUAAUGUCCCCAUGUCUCCCAGUGUCCCUUAGUGUCU